ACGGGUGAGUAACACGUGAGUAAUCUGCCCCUGGCUUUGGGAUAGCCACCGGAAACGGUGAUUAAUACCGGAUAUGACCAUUCUUCGCAUGAGGUGUGGUGGAAAGUUUUUCGGCCAGGGAUGUGCUCGCGGCCUAUCAGCUUGAUGGUGAGGUAAUGGCUCACCAUGGCUUCGACGGGUAGCCGGCCCGAGAGGGUGACCGGUCACACUGGGACUGAGACACGGCCCAGACUCCUACGGGAGGCAGCAGUGGGGAAUAUUGGACAAUGGGCGGAAGCCUGAUCCAGCAACGCCGCGUGAGGGAUGACGGCCUUCGGGUUGUAAACCUCUUUCGGUGGGGACGAAGCGCAAGUGACGGUACCCACUAAAGAAGCACCGGCCAACUACGUGCCAGCAGCCGCGGUAAUACGUAGGGUGCGAGCGUUGUCCGGAAUUAUUGGGCGUAAAGGGCUCGUAGGCGGUUUGUCGCGUCGGGAGUGAAAACGCCGUGCUUAACACGGCGCUUGCUUUCGAUACGGGCAGACUAGAGGUAUUCAGGGGAGAACGGAAUUCCUGGU
rnacentral:rRNA from 1 species